GUUUGAAAAAAAUUAAUUAUCAUCUUUUUACAAAACCAAAUAUGACAAUUAAAAUAGGACGGACGGAAUACUGGAAGAUGGACAAUCUGUAAUCAAAAACACGCUGUUGAACCUCGAGGCUUUGACUGUGUUUAGCUUUGAUCGUUGAAUACGUAUUUCAUUCAACGCACAGUGUUUGAAAAAAACUGAUGGGGAGUCCCUAUAAAAGAGUAAACUUAAAAACACAAGUAGAUAACAUAGAAUAACACAAGCAAAAACAUUAUUCCUACUAGAGAUUAGAAGAAGAAAUAUGGAGAGCAGUUCAUCGACGGCAUCAGUAGCACUAGGAGUGUAUUGGUAUAACUGGGUCAAUGAUCAAGUCAUCUCUCAUUUUUACGGCUUCACUAGCCUCUUGGGUUUCCAAACAGCCACCAGCAGCAACAACAUUGAGGUGGUUUCCAGAGCCCGUAAGCCUCCGCAAAAACCCAUAAGCAAAGGGAGUGGUCCUAAAACCAACCAAGCUUCUGCAUAACACACUAGCUAUGGCUAAGGCAAUAUGUCACAACUGUAAACUAAAGCUGAAUGUGAAAGAAAGAAAAUCUCCAUUAAAGCUCUAUAAAAGUGUUUGUACAUAGCUCUCUACUUUGUUUCUAUUCUACUUGAAUGAAAAAUAAUGUGCUAUUCUCUAAUAUAUACAAAACAGACUAACUCUGUAACUACUUUCUGAAACUAACUACCACUACUUUGCUGAGCUGUCAUUUCGGGACCACAGCUGUCACUCUGCUUUUCCCGCCUCUUCUCUUGACUCUGAUCACUACUAGUAUACUGAACAUCCCCCCUCAAGUUAGGUGUAUGAAACAAGUUGAACACACCUAACUUCGAGAGUAAAUAGCGCAGUUGGUAUGAGGGUAAAGCCUUAGUGAAUAAGUGUGCAGGUUGCUCUGUUGAUGGAAGAUGAUGUGUAACCACAAUUCCCUG
rnacentral:lncRNA from 1 species